rnacentral:lncRNA from 1 species
CUUUCCUGCAAAUCAAGAAGACUUUGUUCUGCUGUCUGCAGACUUUCCAAGUCCUUCAUCAUUUUUGUGAUGUGUUCUUUUGAGGUUCUGUUCUGUGUAUACGCAAACCAGCAGCCUCCAAAACCAAUAACUAUAGAAACUGUUAAUACAAAAUCCUUCAUCCAGUUGUGAGGGGGACGUGUAAGAGGUCCAAAUAAAACAACAUCCAAGGCUUUAAGCUGAAGCUUCUGUCUAUGGCUCCGGUCAAUUAUUUUCAGGUGAGAGAUCAUGAAAGCAUGUUCAUUUACUGCUAUCCUGGGAAGUGUUGUUCCAUUGACAUUGCUCUCCCUAAAAUUCUUUUCAUACUGGGGCAGUUCAACGAAUUCUGACAGCCAUUGAAGAGUGUCCUCUUGAGUCCAAUUAUGAACUUCAGAUGUUUUCC